CCCGGCGCUGGGUGCUAAUUCCAGCCCUUUCUCGGCGGCUGCAUUUAAUCCCUGCCCUUCUUCUUCUUUAGGGACGCCAGUUCUCGGAGCAGAGAGGCUGGAAACAACUGCGGAGGACUCCGUCCCUGCCUCUGUUACACGCAUCUACCACUUCGCCACCUUCCGCACUUGGGGCCCCUCUCCUUGAUUAGGACCAAGUUAACACAGAGCCAGAGAAAGGACUGUGGGUUCCCUUAGCGUGUUUCAACAUCAUUGACUCCCUACGUUUUGGUCAGCCUCCAUCACACAGUGAUGCUGGGGGAAAGGAUCCUUGCCACAGUUAUUUGCUUCCUGUGAAUUGUCUGUGAAGAUGAAUUCUCAAAAGAAGGAUUAAUCAUUUGUCCAAAGCAAGUUUUCACACUUCUGCCAAAUAUUGACUGUCCCUCUCCAAAAGUGUUAUUUCUUGAACUCUCUAGUGGUAGUGUUGUCCAAUGCGAAGUGCACAGGCUUUGAAAUCAGGACUAGGUUCAAAUUCCAGCUUGGUCACUUACUUUACCUCUCUAAGCCUUCAUUUUCUAAAACGGGAAUAAUAAAGGUGAUCUCAUCAUAAGGAUUAAAUGAGAUUUCAAAUACAAGGAACCUACCGAGUGCCUGAUUUAGGUGCUAAAUCCAUUCUUUGUAGCCUCUACAUUUUCUCUCUCCUUGGAGUUAUGUGGGACAAGCAACUUCUUACUUUUCAAACUUCCUGUCCUUCUUGAACCAUGUUUUCCCAUGAAAGUCAUGGAACAGGAAUGAUCAUCUAUAGUGCUCUAAUGGGUGCUACUAAAGAGAAAUAUAAAGCCAUCCACAAAUUCAAA